UACGGAGGGUGCGAGCGUUGUCCGGAAUCAUUGGGCGUAAAGAGCUCGUAGGCGGUUUGUCGCGUCGGCCGUGAAAACUUGGGGCUUAACUCCAAGCUUGCGGUCGAUACGGGCAGACUUGAGUUCGGCAGGGGAGACUGGAAUUCCUGGUGUAGCGGUGAAAUGCGCAGAUAUCUGGAGGAACACCGGUGGCGAAGGCGGCAUCCUGGACCAACACUGACACUGAGGAGCGAAAGCCAGGGGAGCAAACGGG
rnacentral:rRNA from 1 species